UAACCUGCCUCUUAGCGGGGGAUAACUAUUGGAAACGAUAGCUAAUACCGCAUAAAAGUCGACAUUGCAUGAUGUUGACUUGAAAGGUGCAACUGCAUCACUAAGAGAUGGACCUGCGUUAUAUUAGCUAGUUGGUGAGGUAACGGCUCACCAAGGCGACGAUACAUAGCCGACCUGAGAGGGUGAUCGGCCACACUGGGACUGAGACACGGCCCAG
rnacentral:rRNA from 1 species